ACUAAGCCAACAGUGGCUGAUUUUUGGCCCCUUGUCAACCGAUGUGAAAGGCGUCUGUCAUGCAUUUCAUCUCUUCUGAACCAAGCAAGUAGACUUCAGCUAACAAAUGCAGUCUUUUCAGCUCUACCUACCUUUGCUAUGUGUGCAUUUAUCUUGCCUAAAACACUCAUAAAGCAGAUAGAUAAGUUUCGUAAGCAUUGCCUAUGG
rnacentral:lncRNA from 1 species